UAGGGAAUCUUCCGCAAUGGACGAAAGUCUGACGGAGCAACGCCGCGUGAGUGAAGAAGGAUUUCGGUUCGUAAAACUUUGUUGUUAGGGAAGAAAAAAUGUAUAGUAACUAUAUACAAAAGAGACGGUACCUAACCAGAAAGCCACGGCUAACUACGUGCCAGCAGCCGCGGUAAUACGUAGGUGGCAAGCGUUGUCCGGAAUUAUUGGGCGUAAAGCGCGCGCAGGUGGUUUAGAAAGUCUGAUGUGAAAGCCCACGGCUCAACCGUGGAGGGUCAUUGGAAACUAAUAAACUUGAGUGCAGGAGAGAAAAGUGGAAUUCCUAGUGUAGCGGUGAAAUGCGUAGAGAUUAGGAGGAACGCCGGUGGCGAAAGCGGCUUUUUGGCCUGCAACUGACACUGAGGCGCGAAAGCGUGGGGAGCAAACAGG
rnacentral:rRNA from 1 species